UGCAGUCGACGGUGAUGCCCAGCUUGCUGGGUGGAUCAGUGGCGAACGGGUGAGUAACACGUGAGGAACCUGCCCCUGACUUCGGGAUAAGCCUUGGAAACGGGGUCUAAUACCGGAUAUGACGUGCCGCCGCAUGGUGGUGCGUGGAAAGAUUUAUCGGUUGGGGAUGGUCUCGCGGCCUAUCAGCUUGUUGGUGGGGUAAUGGCCUACCAAGGCGACGACGGGUAGCCGGCCUGAGAGGGCGACCGGCCACACUGGGACUGAGACACGGCCCAGACUCCUACGGGAGGCAGCAGUGGGGAAUAUUGCACAAUGGGCGCAAGCCUGAUGCAGCGACGCCGCGUGAGGGAUGAAGGCCUUCGGGUUGUAAACCUCUUUCAGCAGGGAAGAAGCGAAAGUGACGGUACCUGCAGAAGAAGCGCCGGCUAACUACGUGCCAGCAGCCGCGGUAAUACGUAGGGCGCAAGCGUUGUCCGGAAUUAUUGGGCGUAAAGAGCUCGUAGGCGGUUUGUCGCGUCUGGUGUGAAAACCUCAGGCUCAACCUGGGGCGUGCAUCGGGUACGGGCAGACUAGAGUGCGGUAGGGGUGACUGGAAUUCCUGGUGUAGCGGUGGAAUGCGCAGAUAUCAGGAGGAACACCGAUGGCGAAGGCAGGUCACUGGGCCGCAACUGACGCUGAGGAGCGAAAGCAUGGGGAGCGAACAGGAUUAGAUACCCUGGUAGUCCAUGCCGUAAACGUUGGGCACUAGGUGUGGGGCUCAUUCCACGAGUUCCGUGCCGCAGCAAACGCAUUAAGUGCCCCGCCUGGGGAGUACGGCCGCAAGGCUAAAACUCAAAAGGAAUUGACGGGGGGCCCGCACAAGCGGCGGAGCAUGC
rnacentral:rRNA from 1 species